CUCAAGUUGGCAAUGUCUAUUUAUUAUAGAAAACUGGUUUCUAUCCUUAUUGAAAAUUUCUAAGAAUUUUCAGUAGUAAUAGUAAGAAAUGUUAUUUAUUAUAAUUUAAAAAUAAAGUAAACCAAACCACAGUUUGAAUUUGAAGCGAAUUACUUAUUUGAAGAAAUAUAUAUAGAGAUAGACUUUUAUAGUAGAUAGAGAGAGAUGUGAUGAGACGCUCGAAUAGAGAGGUAGUGGGAAUUAUUACCCGCCAAUUCAUCUAAUUCGGAAAUUUUCGUAGAAAUACGAAUCCCUGCGAAAGGUUUCUUAUAUAAUUUUCUUCUCAUGCGUUUUCCACACUAUUAUAAUUGUCCUCGAGAUUGACUUAUCGCUGCACGAUAAGCACUUCGCCGACGACCUUAUAGUGUGGCGAUUUUUAAGUGGUUCUCUUCCAAUGUAAAAGAGGUUUCAUUCCUCGUGGUCAACUCCAAUGGCUUGUAUUCCAAGUGUCCGGACCAUUCAUUUGCAAGUGGAGUAUUUGACGAAAGAAGUCAGCGAGUCGAUAUUCUACAUUUGGAGGAUAAUUUCUUUUUACUCUGAGGAAGCGAUAAGUCCCUAUUUUAUAUCACAUUGUAUUUGUAUUUGUCUCUAAAUUGUCUAUCUCUCUCUCUUCAACUAAAUUAUUAUUAUAUCUCCAUUCUAUUGACUAAUUUAAUUCGCAUGAUGAGCUCAUCUAUAAUAAAUAAUAUGAUCUGACUGAUAUUUGCUUUAUUUGGAAAUGAAAUGUAUAAAACUAUUUGCGAUUGUAUGAAGGACUGAUUUAUUAAUUAUAUAUAUAUAUAUUUCUAUGA